UUGCUAGGUUGUUUACAAUAUCAACAAUGCUUUGAGUUUCUGCUCUUUCGGUUUUUAGAAAUUUUAGUCUAUUUGGAGUGGCAAAAAAUAAAUCUCGUACUUCAAUAUGUGUCCCUUGCGAUAAAGAAUACGGCAGUAAUGGCAGCAUUAUAUGCUCCAUUUUCUCCUAUAGACAUGGUUGCAACUGGAACACCCUUUGGCAUUUGAACUAUAGAGAGUAGGCUGUCCAGCCCAUUUAAUUGUUUACUAUGCACAGGAACGCCGAUAACUGGUAAACAAGUUAGUGACGCAACCAUACCAGAUUUAGCAAAAUUGAAGAGCCUUUCUGGUGUUCUAUGUGCAGAUAUUAUGAAUAUAUCAUGUGAAACUUCUAAUGCUUUUAACAUAUCAACAGUAUGGACCAUAGUGGUGUAAUCUGACUCACUUCCCAUAAUAACAGCAACAUCUUUUUUUAUUUUUGUCAUAUUCAACACAAUUUUACUUACUAACUAAAUAAUGUUCCAGCUAAAAAGCAACAAAUAUUUAAAUUAUAUUAUAAAUAUAAUAUAUAGAAUUCUC